GGACAUUCUAUUUUGAAGGACAGUCUUUUUCAUUAAACACAUUUUAGUAUUUAAUAAGGCUAUUCCUGCUUGACUUGAUGAGGAAAUUG